GUUCCUGUCCAACGUUAAUCGGGGCAGGGUGAGUCGACCCCUAAGGCGAGGCCGAAAGGCGUAGUCGAUGGGAAACAGGUUAAUAUUCCUGUACUUGGUGUUACUGCGAAGGGGGGACGGAGAAGGCUAUGUUGGCCGGGCGACGGUUGUCCCGGUUUAAGCGUGUAGGCUGGUUUUCCAGGCAAAUCCGGAGAAUCAAGGCUGAGGCGUGAUGACGAGGCACUACGGUGCUGAAGCAACAAAUGCCCUGCUUCCAGGAAAAGCCUCUAAGCAUCAGGUAACAUCAAAUCGUACCCCAAACCGACACAGGUGGUCAGGUAGAGAAUACCAAGGCGCUUGAGAGAACUCGGGUGAAGGAACUAGGCAAAAUGGUGCCGUAACUUCGGGAGAAGGCACGCUGAUAUGUAGGUGAAGCGACUUGCUCGUGGAGCUGAAAUCAGUCGAAGAUACCAGCUGGCUGCAACUGUUUAUUAAAAACACAGCACUGUGCAAACACGAAAGUGGACGUAUACGGUGUGACGCCUGCCCGGUGCCGGAAGGUUAAUUGAUGGGGUCAGCGCAAGCGAAGCUCUUGAUCGAAGCCCCGGUAAACGGCGGCCGUAACUAUAACGGUCCUAAGGUAGCGAAAUUCCUUGUCGGGUAAGUUCCGACCUGCACGAAUGGCGUAAUGAUGGCCAGGCUGUCUCCACCCGAGACUCAGUGAAAUUGAACUCGCUGUGAAGAUGCAGUGUACCCGCGGCAAGACGGAAAGACCCCGUGAACCUUUACUAUAGCUUGACACUGAACACUGGUCCUUGAUGUGUAGGAUAGGUGGGAGGCUUUGAAGUGUGGACGCCAGUCUGCAUGGAGCCGUCCUUGAAAUACCACCCUUUAAUGGCUGGUGUUCUAACGUAGGCCCCUUACCGGGGUUGCGGACAGUGUCUGGUGGGUAGUUUGACUGGGGCGGUCUCCUCCUAAAGAGUAACGGAGGAGCACGAAGGUUGGCUAAUCCUGGUCGGACAUCAGGAGGUUAGUGCAAUGGCAUAAGCCAGCUUGACUGCGAGCGUGACGGCGCGAGCAGGUGCGAAAGCAGGUCAUAGUGAUCCGGUGGUUCUGAAUGGAAGGGCCAUCGCUCAACGGAUAAAAGGUACUCCGGGGAUAACAGGCUGAUACCGCCCAAGAGUUCAUAUCGACGGCGGUGUUUGGCACCUCGAUGUCGGCUCAUCACAUCCUGGGGCUGAAGUAGGUCCCAAGGGUAUGGCUGUUCGCCAUUUAAAGUGGUACGCGAGCUGGGUUUAGAACGUCGUGAGACAGUUCGGUCCCUAUCUGCCGUGGGCGCUGGAGAACUGAGGGGGGCUGCUCCUAGUACGAGAGGACCGGAGUGGACGCAUCACUGGUGUUCGGGUUGUCAUGCCAAUGGCACUGCCCGGUAGCUAAAUGCGGAAGAGAUAAGUGCUGAAAGCAUCUAAGCACGAAACUUGCCCCGAGAUGAGUUCUCCCUGAGACUUUAAGUCUCCUGAAGGAACGUUGAAGACGACGACGUUGAUAGGCCGGGUGUGUAAGCGCAGCGAUGCGUUGAGCUAACCGGUACUAAUGAACCGUGAGGCUUAACCUUACAACGCCGAAGGUGUUU
rnacentral:rRNA from 1 species